ACACCUGGAAACAGAUGCUAAUACCGGAUAACAACAGAUGAUGCCUAUCAACUGUUUAAAAGAUGGUUCUGCUAUCACUCUUGGAUGGACCUGCGGUGCAUUAGCUAGUUGGUAGGGUAACGGCCUACCAAGGCGAUGAUGCAUAGCCGAGUUGAGAGACUGAUCGGCCACAUUGGGACUGAGACACGGCCCAAACUCCUACGGGAGGCAGCAGUU
rnacentral:rRNA from 1 species